UACGUAGGGGGCAAGCGUUGUCCGGAUUUAUUAGGCGUAAAGAGCGUGUAGGCGGCUUUGCAAGUCCGUUGUGAAAACUCGAGGCUCAACCUCGAGACGCCGGUGGAAACUGCAAAGCUAGAGUCCGGAAGAGGAGAGUGGAAUUCCCGGUGUAGCGGUGAAAUGCGCAGAUAUCGGGAAGAACACCCGUGGCGAAGGCGGUUCUCUGGGACGGUACUGACGCUGAGACGCGAAAGCGUGGGGAGCGAACAGG
rnacentral:rRNA from 1 species